AUUGAACGCUGGCGGCAUGCCUUACACAUGCAAGUCGAACGAGUGGCGAACGGGUGAGUAAUAUAUCGGAACGUACCGAGCAAUGGGUGAUAACCAAUCGCAAGAUUGGCUAAUACCGCAUAUUAUUUGAGCGGCCGAUAACUGAUUAGCUAGUUGGGGGGGUAAAGGCCUUCAAAGGCGACGCUCACUAGCGGGUCUGGGAGGACGAUCGGCCACACUGGGACUGAGAGACGGCCCAGACUCCUACGGGAGGCAGCAGUGGGGAAUUUUGGACAAUGGGGGCAACCCUGAUCCAGCCAUGCCGCGUGUAUGAAGAAGGCCUUCGGGUUGUAAAGUACUUUUGUUAGGGAAGCGGUACCUAAAGAAUAAGCACCGGCUAACUACGUGCCAGCAGCCGCGGUAAUUC
rnacentral:rRNA from 1 species